ensembl:lncRNA
AUGGUUCAUUUUUCUGGGCACCACCCGAACCUCCAGUUUCCUCUCUGCUAUGUCCUCUUGCGCGCUUUCUCUCAGUCCCGGGCCGCCUGGAUCAGGGAGGGCAGCAGGACCCGCCUCCGUUCAUCCCCCGGCCCCCACUCCACCGAGAGCACCUGGGAAGUGCUCGCGCAGGGUCCCGGGGACAGUCUUCGCGGAAGCACCUGCUGCCCGCCUCUAGAUGGCCAGGUCCUGGCGCACGGUGGCCAGGGACGCCUUGCUGCGGCCGCUGCCGCCUUCGCUGUCGCCGGCGGGGGCCGGGUGCGCGUAGGCUGGCGGGCCGCAGGGGUCCGGGCGCGGGCGCCGGGAGGGAGGGACCGGCAGCGGCGGCGGGGGCGGCGGGGGCGGCGGGAGCAGCUGCUGCGCCUCCUCGUGCGCGCGGUGGCGGCGGCCGUCGCGCUCGGCCCCCUGGCGACCGCGCCCGGCGCGCGGGCGGCCCUUGCAGAGCAGGUGGCCCAGCUCGGCCACGCUGAGCAGCGCCGACAGCAGCCCCACGGCGAAGUAGAAGAGCACGAAGACCGUCUUCUCGGUGGGCCGGCUCACGAAGCAGUCCACGGUGUGCGGGCACGGAGGGCCGGCGCACGCGAAGUGCGGGGCCACGCGGAAGCCGUAGAGCAGCGCCUGGCCCGCCAGGAAGGCCAGCUCGGCCAGCAGGCGCAGCGCCACGCUCAGCAGGUAGCAGCGGCGGCGCGGGGGCGGCCCGGGGCCCGCGUCCGCGCCGCCCGCCUCCUUGCCGGCGCGGUGCACCGAGUAGAUGACGAAGAGCACGGGCGGCGCCGAGAGCAGCAGGAUGUGGAAGAGCCAGAAGCGGUAGUGGGAGACCGGGAAGGCGCGGUCGUAGCACGUCUGGCGGCAGCCGGGCUGCAGCGUGUUGCACACGAACUCCUCCUGCUCGUCCUCGAACACGGCGCCGCCCACCGUGGCCAGCACCAGGAUGCGGAAGAUCAGCAUGAGCACCAGCCACAGGCGGCCCACGAGCGGCGACUGCAGCUGCACGGCGUCCAGCAGCGAGCCCAGGAACGCCCACUCCCCCAUGGCGCUGCGGACGGGCGGGCGUCAGAGGCCGGCGCCGGCCGCGACCCCCCACCCCUCGCCCGCGGGCUGAGGUCGGCUCUCCCUCCUCCAACUUUGGGAGUCCACAUCAGUAGGGAGUGAACUUGGACAUCGGGACGGGCAGCCACCGACGGCAUUGUAGAAGCAGAAACCCAGGGGUGCCCUUGUGUGCUCAAGGAUGCUUUCCACGGGCGACCAUGGUGCCUCCAACCCAGGACUCCAGAGCCAACUCGGUACCCCUGGGAGGGGUGGGAGCCAGCAGACCCGGAGGGACCUCACCUCCUUCCUCUGCCCACCGUUUCUGUUUCUCUUGCCCUUCUUAUUGCAGUGAACUCCUCUCAGAAUUGGGGUGGGGGGGGGUGGACGCAAAAGUAGUCCCACUUCCUUAACUGUACCCUUUGUUCUAGGUGUCUCCUCCCAUCCCAGCGCAGAGUGGCAGGCAUAGGGGCGCAGCCCUCUCCCAUCUCCUCCCUGGUGUCCCUCAACUUCCAGCCUCCCACAUCUCCUGAGAACCUCCCCCAACAUGCACACAUUCACACAGGUCCCACAGCCCCCUGGCGCCCCCAGACUGUCGCUGGACCCCACUCACCCUUUAGCUGGAGCUGAGGUGUUAGAGCUGAGGGAGGGAUCCUGGGAGAUGGCUGGGACUUGUUCCUCCUAGGCCCUCUUUCAUUUUUCCCUUUCGGAUUUGGCCAGGACAGAUGACAGGACAGAACGGCUGAGAGGGGCUUGCUCUCCCCUUCUCUUAAAGGGACAGGGUGACCCUGUUGGCUGGCUCCACCCUUGGGAACAGACACAGGGCCAUACCCCUUGCUGGGCUUUGCCAGCCCUCCCUUUCUCCCUAACCUACUCCUACUCCCAUCCCAUUGCUGUGUCUCCUUCUGGGAAUGGGGGAGGGGUUAACCAGAACCAACCGCUUUGGGGGGGGGGUUAUGGAAGCCCAUGGAAUAGACUCCCUCAAACUGGAAAGCCUAGAUCCACUGUCAACUGUCACCUUCAAGGCUGGAGACAGGUUUGGUGCUGAGUUGGGGGCAGCAGCUCUGUCACUACUGGCCUUGGAGCUCUUCUGGGCCAGUCUCCUGGCUUGUUAACUGAGGACGCUGGGCCACCUGACCCCCAAGUUUCCUUCCAGCUCUAUGUCUUAAAGCUAAGGUCCCAAUCAUAUUACAGAGAAUAAAGAAAACCUGUGCCCAGGAAAAAAAAAAAAUCCCAUAUGGAAACCAUUAAAGCAUCAAGAGUGGUCAGUAUUGGUGGUUAAAUAAAACCUUUUGCUUUCUUUCUGCUUUUCUAUAAUUUCCAGAUUUAUUAUAAUAAGCGUGUUAUUUUAUAAUGGGAAACAUAAAUAGACUUCUAGAAGGCUCUGAAUCACGUUCGAUGACUCUAGGUGGCAGGAGACGCUGUCCCUUAGGGGAAGAGUUAGGAUGAUUCAUGGUGACCUGAGUGGCCAGGAAGGGGACACCCCCAGGUUGAGACAUUUUGUUCGUCCCCUGUGGGCCUUUCUAGGAAUCUGUCCAACACGCACGCCAUUCCCCUCCACCUGUGCACCUGCUCUCGACCAGGCCCUGCCCUGAGCCCAUCACACAAAUUAGCGCAUUUAAUCCUCUUGACGACCCCGGCAGGAGGGAAGCUAAGACUUGGAGGGUCUAAGCCACUUGCCCACAGUCACACAGCACGUAAAUAGCUGGUCUGUGUCUUAUGCCUGGCUUGACUGGCUGGGAGCCCAUGUGCUUAAGCCCAUCAUGGAACUGGCCUCCCUCUCUCCUGCUUGGGUUUCCCAGGGCCUGACAAUCCCCUAGGCUUUUGUUGGGUCUGGUGGGUCCAGACUCUGGAAGUGGACCAUGCCUGCCCAGCUCUGAGUGGGGAGGCCAAGACUUUCCUCCUCCUGACAUUUCCUCUUCCCUUCAGCCAUGGGGGCCUGUAUAAUUUUCCAUGUGUUGACAGGGACCCCCUGGCCUGAUUUCAGGAAGGGGUGGGAAAUGUGCCCUUCACCCACACGGGCUCAGGGGCCCAGCCCAGCCUGGAAAAACCCUUGGUUAAUGAUGGAUGUGCCGGGGAACUCUCCCCACUGUCCUGCAGAGCUCCCUUGGGAGUGGGCCUGGGUGGGGAGACACUGCCUUGGACAAAGUCCAAAGGAAAGCACAUGCUGGGGGCCCACAUUCCAAAAACAGGAUGUGGGGUGGGGGCAUGGCUGACUUUCCCAGCCCUGACCUCUGCCUGCUCCUGGCAAAGCUGCUCCCCGACCCCCAACCCCCAGUCCCAGCCAUGGGGGCUCAGGGACUGUCCAGGAAUGGUCCCUGCCCUGUCCUCAUGGCCCCUGCUGGGUCAGGCCACUGGCCCAGCCUGGAAAAACCCCAUCAGGCCGUCUGCCUGUCAGGAGCGGAAAAUGACAGAGGCGGUGGGCUCGGGUGGGGCAGGAGCAUGGUCCCGCUGUGCUGUCCCCAGCCCCUGAUGCCACAGGGCCAGAC